CUUUUGUGGAAUUCUGACAAAUUCUCAAAGUUAUAUUGUUUGAUUUUAUAAUAUAUCUUGCUUGAAAAUAACUCCCUGUUGUAGAUCAUGAAAUUCAGUGGUCUAAUAACAAGAGAUGUUGUUUAAUAAUGAAUAAGUGUUUCUUAAGAAAACUUUUAAAGCCUUACUGGACUAUACCAUCUUUAUAGAUAGUUUUUAAAACAUAUUUAUUUUAUUUAGAAGGAAUGUGAAGAGAAAAAAUGAACAACAUGAGAUUUUAUUCUUGGAAUGUGAUAGUUUCACUUCUUUCACCUUUCUGAAUCUGGUUAAACACACCUGAAUUAGCAAAAAAGGCCAAAUUUAUCCAGUUUAUCUGAAUAAUUUAGCUGAAGUAACAUGACUGAUAUUUAAAAUAGUCCAAAAUCACUAGAUUAGACAUAACCUUUGAAGAUAAAGAUUAGAAACUGGUUUCCAUCUGAAUAUUUAACUUUUCUAGUUUAAGAAAUGAACUAAAAUUCUAUGCCUAUAGAAAUAGAGUUUUUACAGUUUUGACAACGUCAGGUAAAAAAAUAAGGAUAAAAAUAGAAAACGAUACUCAAAAUUUUCGCCUUUAUAUUCUUACAGGAUUUAUAUACUUCAGGUUGCUUUAUUUGGUAUAAUCUAAUUAUAUUACUUACGACUUACGCACAUUAAAAUCUUAGUAUAUAUUGCUUAAUCUUUUAGAAAAUUAGCUCAUAUAACUUCAUCCACAUGAAGUCCCCGAUAAGUUUCCUAAAGCACUUAUAAUUAAGUUAAAUAAGUUUCUUCUCUUAAAAUCAUAUGCUACAUCAACAUAGCAUAUGGUAGUAGUCUGCUCCUAUCACCAGAGAAGAGAGGUAAUGAGAAUUCCAAAGAGAUCCUUUCCUAUAAAUACAAGGUGGGGGGAACUAAACAAAACACAAAAGAACAUUUUACCAGAGAUCAAAAUCAAACAAGUCCUGUGAUAGAUUUUUAACUUCUUUGAAGGUAUGUCUGCAUAGAACUAAUUUCUAAAGUAGUCCUAAUCCAAACCAUAUUAGAAUCAAAAACUAAAGUUAGUCCCCAUUUUAUUGUUUGGAAAACUAGAGAAAAGAAGCAAAUGACUUGCUUUGGACCAAAGAUAUCGCUAGGAUGAAAACUUGGUUUUAUAACACAGCCUACACACAGACAAAGUUGUUAACUUGUUAACUAUUUAAGUCGUUAAUUAAUUAGUUGUGAAACUAGACACUAGUCUCUUGUCAGCUGCUAAAUGACUGAUACUUAUAUUCUUAUUAUGAAUUCUUCAUUUUUUGCCCAUUAAUUUUUAUUGUUUAUCUUUCUGAUAUAAUUGUCUAUCAUGUUAUAAUUCCAUGGAAUAGAUAUAAUCAAUAGCAUAAAUUUCUGCAGUAAAAGAUUCUAGCUAACCACUUAUGAAAUGCUACUGCUCUGUAGAUGUUAAUUAAUGAUGAGAACUGAGCAACAUUUUACAAAAUGAAAAUUGUAUUUAUCUUUUACCUUAAAAAUAAAUUUUAAAAGGAAACCAAGAGAAUUUAUCUGACUUCUUUUCCUGGCCUACAUUUUGUGAGCAUCCAUGAAACAUGUAUAACAAUAUUAUUAAAUACUUCGGAACCUACAUCUUUCAGUAUUCUUAUGGCCUUCACAAUUCCUUUGUCCCCUGAAAAAUGUAAAAAGUGAAAUGUUUUCUCUACCAAUUAUAGGAAUACUCAAGGAGGUCUGAAAUAACAUUGGAUGUACACUUGCAGCUAAAUGGGUUUUUUUAAUCUGUAGUGUUAUUUUGUAUUUUAUGUCAUAAAAACAAAGUAUAUUAGAGUAUUCUUUAAUGUUUUAAAAUAUAUAAUCCUAUACCUCCAAUUGAUUUUUUCCACUGAUUUUUGUAUAUUUUUGGACAGAUAAUCCCUUUUCUGCCAGUGAGUGACCUUGGGCAAGUCAGCCUCCUUCAAGUUCUGGUUUCCUCAUCUGAAAAAUGAAGUGCUUAGACUGCAUUAAUUCUGAAGUCCUUUGAGCUUUACAUGCAGCUUUGUGAUUAUAUAAAAUAAAUGUAAAAUCAAGCUUUAAUGUUAUUUGAAAUCAAUAAUGCUAAAUCUCCAACUUGAACAAAUAUGCAAAUUUUAAGAUUUGGAAUUUUUUAGAGUGUUAGUUGUCGUUAAUUGAAACUAUGGGAAAAAAUCCGUAAUUGCUGGUCAGAACUACAUUACUCAGUUAUUCUCAUAGGGAAAUAAGCACAGAGAUAAAUAUUCUUACACACAGCUACUUGUAGCAACAAAAAUGUAAAACUGGGGAUUAUUUGACCCAGUAUUGUGACUUUUAUAUAUGUGGGUGAAGGUCUAACACAAUUGGUAUAUCAUUAUACAAUGAUUGUUCUUCCAGGUCAGUUAGGUAAGUCAUAAACUGGCAGCUGGAACAUUCUUUCCCACUCAAGUGUACAUUAUCAGCAGCCCUGCCCCCAGCAUUGAUACUAUAUUAUCAGUUCAGCCAACUACCUCUGCUUCAUAAUUUUGGACAGAUGAUUUUUUUCUUCAUGGUAAUUCUCAUUGCCCCAAACUCAUAAUUCUUUCUUAAUGUCCUACUUUAAUAUUUAUGAGAUUUAGGGUCAGAAUGUUCUGUCUUAUACCCAACCAAAUUUUGACUUCCUCUUGCCUAGUUUUCUAUGGACAAAUGAUAAUUGUUCAGCAGUUCUCUAAAAGACUCCUUUAUGUUGUUACAACUACUGACACAUUCACUGAGUGCCACCUACAGGGGCAACAAAGAUGAAUUUGACUUUCUUUACCCACCAGCAUUUCCAGUUCCUUCCCAACAUGUAGUAACCAAAACAGGACACAGAAUUCUGUAACUUAACUAACGUAUUCAUCCAUGCAAUAAAUUUUUGUUGCAUAUCUACUACAUGCUAGGUACUGUUCUAGACAUUCAGUAUUUCCAGUAGAACAUUCUGUGAUGAUAGAAAUGUUCUAUGUCUGUUCUGUCCAACAUAGUUACCACUAGCCUCAUGUGGCUAUGGAAUCCUUUAAAUGUGGCUAGUGGGUCUGAGGAACAGAAUUUUUAAUUUUAAUUGAGUUUAAUUUAAAUAGCCACAUGUGGCUCUUAAGCUUUUACAUACUAAUGAGAGGAGACAAACAAAGAAAUAAAGAAAUAAUUUGAAAAAUAAACAGGAUAAUUUAAAGUAGUGUUAAGUGGAAAGAGGAAACUAAAACAGGGUGAUGUAACCACUAUUACAUCUUAGAGUCGGGGGAGGGGAGGGCAGGAAGGGAUGGUGAGGUACCACUUCAGAACAAGGGUGGUCAUCUCUGUGAAAUGACACUUGACCUGAGACCGAAUGAUGAGAAGACAGCAAUAUAAGGAACUGAGAGAAGAAUAUUCCCAGAAGGACCAGCAAAUGCAAAUGCCAUAUGGACGGCACAAGCUUAGUGUAUUAAGGAAAAGAAAGAAGGCCUGUAUCUGGAGCAAUCUGUGAAAGAGAGAAUAAGCCUGGAAAAUAAGGCAAGGGCUAGAUCACAGAGGCCACUGCUGACCAGAGUUAAGGGAAGUAGGAAACCACCACAGUGUUUUAAGCAAAAAAGUGACAUGAUGUGAUAAUAUGUUUUUAAAAGGUCGCUCUGAAUUCUCACUGGAGAAUAGAUUGAUUAUAGGUAGAUAGAUUGAUUAUAGGUAGAAAAAAGUUGAGGCAGGGGAACCAGGUAAGAAGCUAUUCCAUUUACCAGUUUGGUCUAGGAUGGUAGCAAUGAAAAAGGUGAACCAUGAAAGAAUUCCAGAUAUAGAGGAUUAAUAUAACAAACGUUACUUUCUAGGCAUAACAUGUCAUAAUCCCUUCACAUUUUAAUAUAAGUUUGCAUUUUUAUUUACAAUCCAACAUUGCUGACAGUUAUUCAACUGUAAUAAUCUUCCGUUUUGUUAUCCAUAUAAACAAAUGACUUUCAGAGCAUCAGUAUGGUUUGUCAAAGUUUGAUAAUUCAGAAAAAUGCACCAAUAAAGCCUAGAAAUGCUUGGUUUAAAAAAAAAGGUUUUCAUUUUUACCAUACUCUGCAAAUAAGAUUUAUCAUGUUAGAGUUAUGAGCUGAUUAUUUGAUGUCUGCAUCUCGAUAAAUUAUUCCUGGCUUUCUACUUAUGUGCAGUAUGUGUGGUUUAUUGCAGAGAGUAAAGCUGAGAAGAAUUCCAGUACACAUGUUCAUGCAGGGGCUAUACACAUGGCUAGUCAGUGUAUAUAAGGGUUUUUUUGUACCCGGUCCCUGGUGUCUUGGCAUUACUUUUAUUAUGUCUGCAGUACUCGUGUAGAUGAAAUGCCACAACACAUUCUUUUACUAUUGUAGCCUCAACCGGCCUUUUUUUUUUUUUUUUUUUUUAAAGAAAAAGCAAUUACCAUCAUAAAAAUUCCUUACUGGGGAACUUUCCAUGUUGCGUUAUCAUUCCAUGAGUCUAAUAAUAGUGGAAUAUAAAGAAAAAAAUUUUUAAUACUAAAAUAUCUGAAAAAGACUUUUGAGGCCUCUAUAAUGAGAAACACUAAAAGUCUGGAGUAGGAGAAAUAAGGAAAAGAAGUAAAGUCAAGAUUUUUAGACUCCUGGUACGUGUUAGCGAUUUAUAAAUCAUUGCCUCGACAAAGAUAAUUUGCAAAUCACAUGCACCUUCACCAAUUUCUAAACACAGUAAAGAACUCUCUCAGCCUGUUAUCUAUUGGGAGAAUGCUAAUGCCUAUAAUUGGUCAUUGCCUGACCCUUAUGUAUUUCUAUCCUGAUAGCUCUAUCUGCCUAAAAGCUAAUUCUGUGUUUUCUGUGAAAUCUUGCAGUGGUGUUAUCAGGGAGAUUGUGUUCCUUUUGGCACUUGGCCCCAGAGCAUAGAUGGGGGCUGGGGUCCCUGGUCACUAUGGGGAGAGUGCAGCAGGACCUGCGGGGGAGGCGUCUCCUCAUCCCUAAGACACUGUGACAGUCCAGCACCUUCAGGAGGUGGAAAAUAUUGCCUUGGGGAAAGGAAACGGUAUCGCUCCUGUAACACAGAUGUGGGGUAAAACCUUGUGCAUUAAACUGCCUGGCUGAAGGUUACAAUUUCUACACUGAACGUGCCCCUGCGGUGAUUGAUGGGACUCAGUGCAAUGCGGAUUCACUGGAUAUCUGUAUCAACGGAG